CACAGCUAGAAUUAAGGAGCUCAGCCGCCUGGGGAAAAAAAAACAAGGAAAAAGUUUUGGCGGUUAAAUCAGUUAGGAUCCUCGAGGCUGCAGUUAUUCUUCGUUUUCAAAAGGAAUCAUUUCAGCUGAAGAAGACGGCUAUAAAGAGGGCAGGAGGAAAGUCAAAGAGGGCAGGACCUGGUCAGACCUCCAGUCAGACUUAGAAGUGUCUGGGCAAAGACCACCAAGCGCUGUCAGACUUACGAGGGGCCCCCCAGCAAUCAUCAGAACCAUGUGGGGCCAACUGUGAUUUCCACUCAGCCAUCUUACUGGAAUUUGUCCAUGCUGAGGGAGGUGCUGACUAAAUUGGAGAUGGUGGCGGACCAACAAACCACUGAGAUUGCUUCAUCUACAGGAGGUCCAGGUGCAGCCUUUGGAUAUUGAGGAAGGUUUACUGCCCCUGCAAGACCUUCAUCAACUGUGUAGUCUGGAGCAAAGGAUGCAAAAAAUGAGCCCAGAUUACGAGCAAAAACUGUUUUAGGUAAACUGGUUGGUGCUUAUUGAUGGGCGGAUGUGCGCGACUGCACCUGGCACAUAUUGAAGAGGGUGACUGCCAAAUCCCUGGCAACCUCAAUUGGAGGGGCUUCAAUGGAAAGACUUCUCCAACUGACAGGUAGUGAUCAGUAAGUAUAUCUGUUUACAUACAGAAUUAGCUGUCUCUCUCAGAUGAUAUGUAAGGGGUAAUCCACGACUAGGUGUGCAUUAAAUAAUUUAAAUGUAUGAUGUUUAGGCAAAGAACCACUUGUUCGAAUCAUUUAAUGCACACCAAGCCAUGGAUUACCCCAUUUAUACCAUGGCACCCUGGUAUCCAGAUAACUGUCAUUUUAUCUUUGAGAUGCCAUUUGGAUAUAAUAUGGGAAACUGACUAAAUGUAUCAAACAUUUUACUUAAGUAGCCUAAAUGAAUCGACGUCUGAAUUUUAUUAUCGUUUAAUAUUAUUUGUCAUAUUAAUGGCAAAUAUCUGCCAGCAAAAAGGCAAUUUACAAUAAUUACCAAACCUUUUGCUUAGUAAAUGGUGAUUAUUCAUAAUAUUAUCUUGGUGAAUGAAAGAUUUUUAAAUGAAUGCACAAGACUUCACUUUGAAUUUUAAACUGUAUUUUUAUUUCUUUCAAACUUAAUUUCGUAGCUAAUUAAAUGCCCUGUUAUGUUCAUUUGCGCACGAACAAGAGACUUGUGUGAUGGCCUGAGGUCAAAUCUGAGAGAGAUUUUAACUUCCCUUUUAGUUUUAAAUUGGCCACUUAAGAGGAUAAACUAAACUAUUAUCACUUUUUCAAAACUUCAGCACUAGUCCAGUGUAAAUUUGACAUUAUGACUGCUGCUGGUGCUUGAUCCAUGACGCUCAAAUGAGCUUGUGCAUGUGUCGGACUUCCCAGCUAACAAAGUUGCGUUGUGAACACCGAACCGAACCAGACCAUAUUCAUCACAACAAUGUACCAAAUAACGCUCCAGCCCGUUUUUUUUAUGCGAGUGACAAUAUUUAUAGUCACCAAAAUCAACAAGUCUUAUUUCAUUAUGGAAUGUUGCAGUGUUUAUUAUAAAUGUGUCACAUGGUGUUUCUCCACAGCAGCAACACCAUGGUGACAGUGAUGAUGGGACAGUUCUGCCCUUUGAAGAAUAAGGCUUCUUUUUCUUACAUUUUUUUUAAACUUUGGUUACAUUAAUUUAUUCAUGUAUAUGCUUAAUUAUUUAUGAAUUGAUAAUAUUUAAGUUCAAUUUUUUUAAAUUUUUAUUUAUAGACGUACUCGCUACAUUCCAGCAAAGUAGGCCUAUAAGCUAUAACGUCACCACAACGAAUAUGGGAAUCACAUGGUGGGAAUGUUAUUUGGUACUUCGCUGUGACUGAUGUGGUCCAAUCUGGUUAGUUGUUUACAACGUACCAGUUUAGUUGUUUAGAGAUAAUGCUAGGCCUGGGCGAUAUGGACAAAAUUAAGUAUCACAAAAUCUCUGCUGCGGAUGGCCCCACACGGACAGCCUGAAGAUCAUUGAGGUGACUGAGGAUGGUACCAUGUAAAACCCAUGAAAGAUGUCUUUGGACCUCAAUUCAUAUGAACAGUUAUGCUACGAUAACUUAGGACAAUUGCUAUGAUAGCUUUAGGACUGCAAUUACCAGGACCAGUUUUGGACUCGAGUCUCCAUCAGUGAACAGUGGAGUUCAACAAAACUGACUUCAUGUGAAAACUGUAAUGAAUUUUCCUGGUUACACAACUGCAUUGUUGACCAUGUAGUACACAGUUAUAGAAGUGGAAUGAAUUAUAAUCACACUAUCUGGUGUCACCCAGGUGAGGAUGGGUUCCCUAUUGAGUCUGGUUCCUUUCAAGGUUUCUUACUCAUAUCGUCUCAGGGAGUUUUUCCUCACCUUCCUUAACUAUGGCUUGCUCAUUAGGGAUAAAUUCAUACAUUUAAAAUCUAUAUCCUGAAUUUAUAUAUUUCUGUAAAGUUGCUUUGUGACAAUGUCCACUGUUAAAAGUGAUAUACAAAUAAAACUGAAUUGAAUGUCUGACUGAAUACCUCGGUAUCAAUAUUGUGACCAUAUUGUAGGGAUACAGUUGGUGUUUUCAUAAGAUAUUUGCAUAGUUAUAUUUUUUAUAAACAGUCAUUAGUAAUGUGGAUAUGGAUGUUUAAGGUUUUGAGAGUUUAUAAUAGUGAAAAAUUCUGACAUCGGACUGCUGUAAUAGGUGUGAUAUAAAUGUUAUAAACAGUAAAUACCUCUUGAAUGUCAUUCUCAGUCUUCAUGGCCCACUGUAUUUUUUUCAUCUGCUCUGUUUGAAGCGUUGCUCAUGUCAUCUCCUGUUUUUCUUUCAUCAUCUUAAUUGUUGUUGUACUUGUAGACAAAGAAAGACUGAAUGUGCAAGAGUCAAUGUCUAGGAAUAAAAAGGUAGUAAUUUCUUUUCCCAA